AUGUAGGACUCCAUGUUUUAUGCACACCAUCUGAUAAUUCUAUUAUCUCAACAGCGYACAAACGACGAUAAUGACUUUUAUGAUCUGACAAAAUCUUGGGAAGAAGCUCGAAAAAAUGCCGUCAAUACAGAUGAACAGCGUUUAGAGAAGAGAAUAGAAGAAUAUUUCCAAACUUCCGAUAAUCAAUGAACAAGAAAUAGAAUAUAAAGUGGAUGACCAUGGAAAACAUUAUUGACCAAGAAAUUGAGCUUUUAUAGACAAAAAAAGCAUGAAAUUAUAAUAYAAUGUUAAGGAAAAAUUAACAAAUAAAAAUAUCAAAGCUCGAUUGUUAUUCUACAAUUUGAAUAAAGUUGAAUUUAUAUGCUCAA